UGCACUCCAGCAUGGACGACAGAGGGAGACUCCGUCUAAAAAAAAAAAAGCAAGUGCUUCAUCCUCACCAAAAAGGAGCUAUUCUUUUUACUUGGGCAACCUUCUCUGAAAGCAAAGUCACCUGUCUUGUAAUGAAGCUUCGCAAUUAGGGUUUACACACGAUGUGGCAAAGGAACGCUCACAGUUUGCUGUCUCUUUGGCAUCAACUUCUCCCUGCACAUAAAGCGGGCAUUUCUCGAGCCUGGCUUUUUGGCUUUCCUUUGCUAGGCUCCAUGUAGACACACUGCCCUUUGGGGAGCUGUUGACAGGGUUGAUUAGAGAAUGACUAUCUUCGGUUACUAUGGGAGACACUGCUGGUUGUCCACCCAGUUCCUCCUUUGUUCCUUACUAUUUUGUUCACAGUGGCAAUAUUUUCAGGGAAGGUGAACCCAGCCCUAAGGAGUGAACUAUGAUUGGAUAGCUCACUCUGCGGAUUCCAGGUUUCCUUGUGAUUGGAUAGAACGCUGCGGAUUCCAGGCUUCGUUGUGAUUGGAUAGAACUUAGCGGAUUCCAGGCUUCCUUGUGAUUGGCUAGAACUCUGCGGAUUCCAGGCUUCCUUGUGAUUGGAUAGCUCACUCUGUGGAUUCCAGGCUUCCUUGACAGUAACUGGCUUAGGAGUAGGCAUAUGACCCAUUCUACUCAAAGAGGCAUAAGCGGACACUGACGUUUGCUGGCAGGGGAUGAGGAGCUUGGAAAAGAUCCUCCUCCCGUUUUGCCAUCUUUGUUUCUUGCCACAAUAGGAUGUAACCAUUGGCGCUGCAGCAGCCACCCUGCGACCAUGAAUGGAGAGCCAAGAGAAUGGCAGAGGGUGGAAUUAAGUGACAAGGCAAAGCUAAUGUAAGAUACAUAAAACACCAAAAACACCAAGCAUUCUGCCGUGAACCCAUUUGGUGCUCAAUAAAAUCAUUGCCCUUUUUUUGGUGUUUUGUUGGAGACAAAACGGAAACACCAAAUGGCUGGUGGAAGUGGUAGGAAAAAAGGAGACCAAAAACCCAGUGGCUCUGAAGAGGUACCUGCAGACCCACUGGGCAGGGUAGAGAGGAGCCCAGUGGGAACUUUUCUGCCAGGAGGAAUCAGCGGGCAGAGCUCUUCUUCCCAUUUGUCCAGCAGGGCUUCUCAUCCUCAGCACUGCUGACAUUUGCGCCAGAUAUUUCUUUGUUUUGGAGGCUGUCCUGUGCACUGUCGGAUGUUUAGCAGCAUCGUCAGCCUCUACUCUCCAGGAGUCUGAGCCAAGGCUGCGUCCACAGGAGGGAGUCACUGACGGUUGGAGGACUGAUAUUCACCAAUACCUUUCCCACAAACAAGAGAUGCCUGAGAAAGACCUGGUCAUGCAGGAGGUGGUGAGUGGCUACUGGAAGAAAUAUGGUGGCUGGGGGAGGGGCAAGGGAGAAGUCUGCCUGCGGUUGAGCAGGCUGGCUGGAGAGCCAAGGCCAGUGCCCACUAGUGACUCUCCCGAGGGGUGUUGCCUUGGUGGGCUUCCCCGCUCUGGCCUUUUGUCACCUUGUUUGCUGAAUCCAGGUAAAAUUUUUGACCAAAUUGGAAAGCAAUUCCGGGGAGUUGGAGUCAGAUCUGUCCCUACCCUUGCUGUUGCUAAUGAGCUGUAUGACCUUAGUUGAGCCAUUUGAUCUCUCUGCAACUGUUUCUUGGGCUGUGAAACAUGGGGGUUGGAGUCUCUGAUUUCUAAGGUCCUUUUCAGCUGUAAGUUCUAAGGCCUGUGAAUACCACAGUGUGAUGAAGCCAACUGGGUGGUGGUGAGGGCCUUGUAAGUUUCAGUCUUACUGCAAGCCGGCGAUAGAAUUCUCCCCAUGUCUUUGUUAAGAACUCUUGGCCGGGCACAGUGGCUCAUGCCUGUAAUCC
rnacentral:lncRNA from 1 species